rnacentral:rRNA from 1 species
UACGUAGGGGGCAAGCGUUGUCCGGAAUUACUGGGCGUAAAGCGCGUGUAGGCGGGACGGUUAGUCGGACGUGAAAGGCUGGGCUCAACCCCAGAUCGCCGUUCGAAACUGCCGUUCUUGAGGGUCGAAGAGGAGAGUGGAAUUCCUGGUGUAGCGGUGAAAUGCGUAGAGAUCAGGAGGAACACCCAUGGCGAAGGCAGCUCUCUGGUCGACAUCUGACGCUGAGACGCGAAAGCGUGGGGAGCAAACAGG